rnacentral:snRNA from 1 species
CACAUGGGUUAGUCGAUCCUAAGAGUCGGG